AUUGAACGCUGGCGGCAUGCCUUACACAUGCAAGUCGAACGGUAACGGGCCUUCGGGUGCCGACGAGUGGCGAACGGGUGAGUAAUACAUCGGAACGUGCCCGAUCGUGGGGGAUAACGAGGCGAAAGCUUUGCUAAUACCGCAUACGAUCUACGGAUGAAAGCAGGGGACCGCAAGGCCUUGCGCGGACGGAGCGGCCGAUGGCAGAUUAGGUAGUUGGUGGGAUAAAAGCUUACCAAGCCGACGAUCUGUAGCUGGUCUGAGAGGAUGAUCAGCCACACUGAGACUGAGACACGGCCCAGACUCCUACGGGAGGCAGCAGUGGGGAAUUUUGGACAAUGGGCGCAAGCCUGAUCCAGCCAUGCCGCGUGCAGGAUGAAGGCCUUCGGGUUGUAAACUGCUUUUGUACGGAACGAAAAGUCUUCUUUUAAUACAGGAGGGUCAUGACGGUACCGUAAGAAUAAGCACCGGCUAACUACGUG
rnacentral:rRNA from 1 species